UGAAUACGAGAUGCUACGGCGUCGAAGCAGUCUAUGUCAUACUUCCAAGAAAAGCUCGCACUGUCAUAAACAAAUAAUGCCUGUACCAUAACCGACACAGGUGGGUAGGUAGAGUAUACUAAGGGGCGCGAGAUAACUCUCUCUAAGGAACUCGGCAAAAUGACUCCGUAACUUCGGGAGAAGGAGUGCCUUAUUUAUAAGGUUGCAAUAACAAGAUCCAAGCAACUGUUUAUCAAAAACACAGGUCUCCGCUAAGUCGUAAGACGAUGUAUGGGGGCUGACGCCUGCCCAGUGCCAGAAGGUUAAAGAAGUUGGUUAGCAUUCGCGAAGCUGAUAACUGAAGCCCUGGUGAACGGCGGCCGUAACGAUAACGGUCCUAAGGUAGCGAAAUUCCUUGUCGGGUAAGUUCCGACCCGCACGAAAGGCGUAAUGAUUUGGAUACUGUCUCGGAGAGGGGCUCGGUGAAAUAGACUUGUCUGUGAAGAUGCGGACUACCUGCACCAGGACAGAAAGACCCUAUGAAGCUUUACUGUAACUUGAGAUUGAAAUUGGACUUUACUUGCGCAGUAUAGGUGGGAGGCGUUGAUAAUAUUCUUGCGGGAUUAUUUGAGCCAUCAGUGAGAUACCACUCUUGUAAUGUUAGAUUUCUAACUUUGUAUCAUUAUCUGGUCAAAGGACAGUUUCAGGCGGGCAGUUUGACUGGGGCGGUCGCCUCCCAAACGGUAACGGAGGCGCACAAAGGUUUCCUCUGAACGGGUAGAAAUCGUAUCUAGAGUGUAAAGGCAUAAGGAAGCUUGACUGUGAGACCUACAAGUCGAGCAGGGACGAAAGUCGGUCUUAGUGAUCUGACGGUGCUGAGUGGAAAGGCCGUCACUCAACGGAUAAAAGUUACUCUAGGAUAACAGGCUGAUCUCCCCCAAGAGUCCACAUCGACGGGGAGGUUUGGCACCUCGAUGUCGGCUCAUCGCAUCCUGGGGCGGUAGUACGUCCCAAGGGUUGGGCUGUUCGCCCAUGAAAGCGGUACGCGAGCUGGGUUCAGAACGUCGUGAGACAGUUCGGUCCAUAUCCGGUGUAGGCGUUAGAAUAUUGAGAGGAGCCUUCAUUAGUACGAGAGGACCGAGAAGGACAUACCUCUGGUGUACCAGUUAUCGUGCCAACGGUAAACGCUGGGUAGCUAUGUAUGGAGUGGAUAACCGCUGAAAGCAUCUAAGUGGGAAGCCCACCUCAAGAUAAGA
rnacentral:rRNA from 1 species